ACUGAGGCAAAUAUAGCUAUCUUUGUGCCCUGAGAGCAUCACCCAACAACCACACCCCUCCACAGAAGCCCCUAGAUCACAGCUCCUCGCCAUGGACUGGACCUGGAGGAUCCUCUUCUUGGUGGCAGCAGCAACAGGUGCCCAUUCCCAGGUGCAGCUGGUGCAGUCUGGGGCUGAGGUGAAGCAGCCGGGGGCCUCAGUGAAGGUCUCCUGCAAGGCUUCUGGAUACACCUUCACUAGCUAUAGUAUGAACUGGGUGCGACAGGCCCAUGGACAACGGCUUGAGUGGAUCGGAUGGAUCAACACCGAAACCGGGAACCCAACGUAUGCCCAGGGCUUCAAAGAACGAUUUACCUUCUCCAUGGACACCUCUAUCAGCACGGCAUAUCUGCAGAUCAGCAGCCUAAAGGCUGAGGACACUGCCGUGUAUUACUGUGUGAGAAACACAGUGUGGAAACCCAUAUGCUGAGAGUGUCAGAAACCCUGAGGGAGGAGGCAGCUGUGCUGAUCUGAGACAGUGA